rnacentral:lncRNA from 1 species
UCUCUAUAUUUCCUGAACACACCAUGACGUAGUACAUGGUGAGGCAAGUUGGCUCGAUAAAUUCUACCCUAAGCAGUGGGUCGGCCGACCCCCUCUUUGAUGGCCAAUGGGAACAGAAGCUUGCAGAGGUACAUCAUCAACAAUGGGAAUUCAAAUGGCAGCAAUAGGCAAGCCCAAGUGGGGUCGACCGACCCCACCUUGGAGCCCUGGACCCACCAUUCAGCAUCCACUCAACAUCUACCUGCCUUCUGACUGGUUUGCCACUCCUACUCCCCCUCUAUUCUUUCAUUUUUAUUACUUCUAUCUCUUGUUUGCUUUAUUAGAUAAAAUAAAACAAAAAUAAAAACAAGAAGACUUGGAUCUAUGAUUUAUGACAUUAAAAGUGUGACAUGAUUCAUGACAUUAAAAGGAUAAAAGUGUCACAAAGUCUAAUUCUUGCAUAUGCUUAUACUUGUGGGUCACACAUCUUGAUAGGAAUAUCAUAUUGACUUGGUUGUUGACAAAUUGUGAUAUAGUUCUUAGCUCAUGAUUCAUACCCUUUCUAUUCAAAGUGCUUAGAGAUUUAUUUUUGAAAAUAUCAUAAAACCAUAGUGUCACUUACUCCUCAAUAGUAAGAGAAUUCCUACCACAGCCAUAUAUGUUCAUACCUUGUUCAAAACCCUUCUAUAUAUGCUACUUGUACUUGUGUUGCGUUUAGUCAAACCUUGUGACCCUAGUUGAGAAUUAUGUCAUAGUCCCAAGAUCAAGAUCACACAUACACCACAUAUAUAUGCUGCUUCUACAUUGGACGUACACAAAAACAUGACAUCCAUUUCCACCAUAUAGAUGCUCCAUGUUUUAAGGUUUAGAAUAUCUCUCUCAAAGUAUUGGUUUUAAGAUGAGGCACAAAGGCUAUGCUUAGUAAAAAAAAGUGGGCACAUGAAGGUCCAUUGCUUUUGAAAAAAAAAGAGAAAAGAAAAAAAAGCUAGCCAUGUCUGUUGGCAUUUCUUAACGUCAUCACUAAGAAUAGGGUUUAAUCCGUCCUCAGCAACGAUGUCAGAAAUGUCGUGAUAAUACUUACUAAUGCAAUCACCAAGAUUAGAGUAUAAAUCUAUCCUAAGCAACGGUGCCAGAAAUGCUUGUUAGCGUUUCUUAGCGUCGCUACCUAGAAUAGGGUUCUGCUCUACUCAUGAUAAUGACAUUGGCAGUGUUAUAUUGGCAGAUCCGUAGCAUCACCACCUUGAAUAGGAAGCUAGAUCUACCUUCCCGAUAACGGCGCCUUAGGUAGGGUUCCAGUUCUUAAUCAUGGUAGUGGCACGAGGAUUGCCAUGUUGGUAUUCCUUAACAAGUCACUAGCUCGGCGCAUGUCUAGCAACAGUGUUAAGUAUAUACCGGGGUGAUAGUUCCUUAGGUUUGGAGUUUAAGUACCGCAAGCGGACGGGAAUUAUCAUGUAGCAUUUCAACCCGGGGAUUUACCGAGUGUCGUAUUUAUAGGUUCGCUCUAAGGAAGGCUUAAUAUGUUAAGGAUUCUAAGAUAAGCAUAGAUCAAAGUAAUUAUGAUAGCAAUAAUGGAAUCAAAAGUCAUAGUUGGUGAUAAACAUUUAUAUGUAGAAUAGUGAUCCAUCACAAUCUAGGCAUGGCAUAUGGGCUAAGGAAUAAAAAAGAGACUAAAAGAAUGAAUUGAAUCAGAGAAUAAACAAACAACCUAUUGGAGCAGGUGUGGUCCUAGAUACAGAUCAUGUCAUAGAACAAGUUAAUCAUGUAAUUAUACUACUUAGAUCUAGUCCUGUGUUUAGAUGGUUUGGGAGGUUACGCGAGUACUGGUCUGCCAGCAACCUCUGCAACUAUUUAGACUCCUACACCCAAGCCGAACGUGGGGGAAUGCCAAGGACGGACAGGGCUGUCACCACCUACCGCCAUCCCCUCAAUCGUGGACUAGGACAAUGCAUUUACCCAGCCUUUACACCCAAGCACCAUGCUUACAUGCAAAGAACCUACUCGGACUCCCCCAGGUCCCCGACCCUAUGGAUCGACAGGUAAGAAGCCCGAGCCUACUCAACAGAGCAUGAUAAACCCCCAUCUUCACACAAAGCUAUUUCUAGGCAAUUAAUUAACAUGAAGCAAUUAGACUAAAGUCCUAAGUGAGAAUAAUACAACAUACACUUAGCACUAGUUCAUAUAAUACACUACUAGCCCUAGGGUAGCAUUAUACUAUAAGAACUAUAUACUGAAAUGUAUGUCAUAUCAUUUCCACUAUAACUAUAUUCUAGUUCAUAUGCUAGCAUCAUAAAACAUGGCCUAUGAUCUAUAUCAUAUACCAUAGCAUAAGAACUAUACUCUAGUUCAUAUGAAGAACUACAACGGACAUGAUAAGGCAUGGACUUGGAGUAAAGAUAUUCAUUAAUCAUACCCAAGUUUCUCUCCAAGGAGCCAAGCCCUCCUUGAUAGCUCACCCAACUCUCUCUCUAAAAGCUAAAAGGAAAAACUAAGAAGAGGUAGUGCCCAAGUGCCUUGAAGGUGGAGUGUUGAUUGUGAAUGUGAUGAGAUGAAUGGAGCCUCCCUCUCCCCCUCCUUAAAUAGGUGGGGAAGGUCGGUUCCCCAGGGUGUAAACUGCAAUUUGCACGCGGGGACUGUGGGAGGAUAGGCUCAGCACCGCCUCUGCGAAAGGCGGUGCCGAGAUGGGCUGGGCCAGGGUCGGCCGACCCUAGGGGGCGGCCGCCCCCUAGUGGGCCCCGCUGGCCCCGGCCCGAAGCCCGUUGCCAUCCUCUCGGGCCCCUGAGUCCAGAUCCACCUGCAAAUUGAUGCACUUCUAUAUUGGGCUUUUGGGUACUUGUUUAUUUGCGCAUUUUUUGACGUGUCGGAUUGCGCCUUUUUAUUUGCUUUCCACCUGUAUGCCUGUAUAUGAUCUACAAAACACAACUUGCACUACAUGUGGAACUUGGUAAGCAUUUAAUAAGUAUAUGUGAGUAAAAUACAUGAUUUUCUUCCUUUGCAUGAACUAUGUUGGCGGGGUAAAUAUGUCAUUAAGAACCGCCAACAAACACCUCCAAGUUUACCACUUGCUCGUCCUCGAGCAAGAACUAAGAUCUUGGUUGUUGAUCAGGAGUUGCUACAAUAUUUUCACUUCUAUCCAGUACAUACCUUCAAACAAGAAUUCUCCUUUGAAUUUUGAACAGAUAUGUCAUGGGGCUUAUUGCUGAUACCUUGGGUCCUUAAGCAUUUGCAGGAUGGAUUUGAUCAGAUCGAGUGCUAUAUCCCUAGUUCUUUACUUCACCUUUGUUCUGGAGUUUUUUUAUUUUCAAAACUUAGCACAUUUAUUUGUCAAAUUAAACAAUGGAUCCAAAGAGAAAGUUAAUCAUACCAUUAAAUUUUUGAAAACUUUUAUUUCCAUCAUUCUCUUUUUGUCUAUUAGAGACACAUGGCUAUGUGGCUAAUUCUACUGUUGGGCACUUGCCUAUUUUUUUAUUUUUAUUUUUUUCGAGGUUCCGGACACAUGUCCCUUUUUAUUUCCUCGUGAUCUUUCUUUUUGAGGUUUCAGACACAUGUCCCUUUUUAUUUCGUCUGAUGCUUUUUUUUCUUUUUCAUAGCCAUAUGCCUUCUAACAAACUUUUGAGAUGAUAACAUAAUGAAAUAUUUUUGUUUUCAAUGGUAUGACAACCUCUCAAAGGGUCAACAAAGCUUAAUCUAACUCAAUGUGAUUAUUUUAUUUUUGUAAAAACUCCAGAACUCUAGCGUUGUUUAGAACAGGAUACUAGCAGCUCGGAUCAUCACAAAUAUAUCCAUUAAUUACUUUAGACUUUAGAUAGAGCAUUUUGCAACCCUCGCAUUUAAUCAUUUUAUUAAUUUGGAGAAUUCAAGGUUGAAACUAGAUACUGGAAAGAAAUUACGAUAGAGCAACUAUUCAUCAUUUCAACAAGGAAGAAGCAUAUAUCUUACAUCACAUAUAAGAGUGGAAUUAUAUUUUUGUCUUUUUAGCAUUUUUCAUUUUUUUUAUAUGCAAUAAUUAAAACAUGGAAAUUUCAUAAAGUAAACAUGCUAAUUUAAAAUUAAGGAUGCAUGAAAAUAAAUAUGCAAUGCAGAUAACCUUGGGAUUGGAGGUCCUCCCCCAAGCUAGCUUCUGGCCUACUGAUCGGGGUUGUACCCCAUGUACCACCAGAAGUCUUGGGACUGUUUCAGCAGCUGAUCUUGGCGAGCUUGCAUUUCAUCUUGCUGCUGCUGGUCCCAGGCCUGUUGUUGCUGUUGCCAUAGCAACCCUUGCUGGUGCCACUCCACGACCUGCUGGUGGUGCGCAUCGGUGGUUUGGAUGUGUUGUUGGAGAGUAUCCUGGAUCUCAUCCGUGCGCACCACCAGUCCCCCAAGCUGAGCUUGGAGGCGCUCCAAGUCGGUUCGGCCUACUGUGGAGGUCGAAGGAUAUUCUUCUGGUGAUUCAGCCCUCCAGCACGAUUGUUGUUCCCAAGCUCUGGAAUCCGCCUCAGCCCACCCCUCAACACCUUGUGUCGGCAUGGGUGUGUCCCACCCCGAGUGGUAGAUUGGCUGUGUAUAGGAGGGUGGUGGCUGGGAGCUGGAUCCGCCGAUGUCCCUGCCAGAAACACUACGCCUUCGUGCAGUUUCAGCUGUCUGCAGAUCAAAGGUUAGUCUCCCAGAGUUAUACAAGUGUACACCCGGGUUAGGUAACCGGAUUACGUUUGUAUACCCUGGGAAAUAAAACACAAGACCGCCCGCAUUAUCUCUUUUCAAAUGGUGACCUUGGAUAAGAUAGGUUUCAUUAAUCAUGGUGCUUGGAAUUUGAAUAUAAUCAAGAUCUUGCCCUUCCAACGCACCAAUGGCCGUGGCCACAUGUGUUAUGUGUGAAGUCAAAGAGAUAGGGGUGGUUGUCUUGAUUAUAUCUAACCAAUGCCUUAUAAUUUCUUGCACAGGCGCAACUUUUAUUUUCAUUCUAGCCACGUAAAGUAACCUCAUUUCAUUUACUUGCACAACGCGGGUAUCCUGGCUAGGAACAUUGUUAUGGAUAGCCAAAGGUGUAAAAACCUUAGAGUGGGGUGUUGGAUGUGGGCAUUUCUAGGAUAGUAUUUUCCAGUGUGAACUUGCGCCGUGAUUUCUUCCCAAAACUUAUCCUUAUUAAACCCUUUUGUGGCAUGCACUAAAUCAAGAGAGCAUCUUUGAUGAAAACCAAGGUAUUUGCUUAAGUCUUUCCAAAAGAUAGCAUAUUCAUUUCCAAAUAAAUGAACAGAAAUACCUUCAUAUGUUUCUCUUAAAGUGCAUAGGAAUUGAAUGGUAAGGGUAUAGGAUCCAUACUCAGUUAUGGGGUGAAUGUUGUCCCACCUGGCGGCUUUCCAUAUGGAGAGGAAUUCAGAGUCCAUACCGAUGUCGGAGAGGAGCGAGUCGUCGUAGACCGGCGUAUGGAGGAAGAUCCGGUCCUUGAGCAUGUUGUAGGCUUGAUGUUCUCGAUCACCCACCAAGUCGAAUUGGUGGGCUCCUCCUUCUUCAUGUUGUUCCUCCUCUUGUUCCUCUUCUUCUUCCUCUACCUCUUCCUCUACCUCCUCGAUCUCCGAGGAUUCUUCCUCAGCGGAAGGACUCCAUCGGGGAUCGGUGUAGUAUGAGGAAGUGCUCCGAUAGGGGCGCUUCGAGAAUGACCUCGUGACUCUUUUAAACGCCCCCGAAACUGUUUUGCCGAACCUUUUCAUGGUGCAAUGCUUGCACCAGUGGAUAGCUAGCUUGGAUAGGUGAUUUUUUUGUGAGGUUUCUGCUGGUGGUUGGUUGGAAAUAGCAAAGAUGUGAAAGUGUUGCUUGGAGAGUGAAGAUGGAAGUGAUGAAGUGAAGUGAGAAUGGGUGGAGAGGGCCACACCCGAACCCCUGGUAUUUAUAGUUUGAAAAUGCAGGUGGAUUCGGGGUGAGGGCAACGGCUAGGAGCCUCCCCCAGCUGGCCGUUGGCCAGAGCCAUUGGGGGGUCGGCCGACCCUAGGGGCGGCCGCCCCCUGGUGGGCCCCGCUGCUCCCUAACUUUUGUCUCCAUCUUCCAACGGCUAGUUUUUGAAGUUUUUCGUUGGCAUAUUGAUGCACUUCUAGCUGAAAAAAUGACUUUUGCAAUUUCCAACAUUUAUUUGUAAAAUUUUUAUUUUUGAAAAAUUUAGGAAAAAUAUUUUUCUAUUAUUUUAUUUUAUUUUCUAGCUGAAAAUGAAUUUUUGAAUAUUUUUCAAAAAAAUUAUAUAUAUAUAUAUAUAUUUAAGAUAACUACCGAUUACCUUCGGCAGAGGCUCAAAAAAAUGUUUAUAGUCCUUUUUGAGAAGGACUCUCUUCCGUCGUUUGAAUUUCACCCUGCAUGGUUAGUGGGAGAGUUCUCGGGUUACCCCGGGAGUCUACCCGCAUUCUCAGUAGGAAUUGCAGCGGCGAUCUGAGCUACUUGUGUUUCUAUCAUUUUAUUAAAGCUCAGUUGGUUUUGUACGGAAGAGGCAAGGUUUUCUAUUUUUGUAUUUAUGUUUUCUAAAACCUUAUCAUUGGACAGCAACUUUUUAGUUAAGUUUUCAUUUAUUUUAGCUUGUCCAAGAACUAGGUCUUUUAAUGAAGGUUGAUUCGAAUUAAAACUCGAAUUACCUUGGAAUGAAGAGCGUGACUGAUUAUUCCAACCAUUACCUUGGUUGGCGCCUCCUUGUUGGCGAAACCCGUUGUUGAUGUAGGCAGCGUCUUCACGGGUUUCGGGGCAAUCAUUCCCCGAAUGGCCAACUUCUCCACAGACCUCGCACGUCAUUAGCGAGUCUAUGGCCUUCACCGAGUUCGAGGGGUUCUCUUGGUUCCUCUCGGUGAGUUGCUUCAUCAAUAAAUCUAUUUUUGCGGCAAGCAUAUCCGUCUCCUUCACGGUAUGCAUGCCUUUUUGUGUUUUGGCAGCUGGUGGUUGAGUUCUGUCCUCCCCCCAGCUCUGGUGUUCUACCAUCUUCUCGAUCAGGGCCUUGGCCCCGGCGGUGGUAAGUGAUAGGAACGCGCCUCCAGCGGUGGCGUCUAGGUGUCCCUUCGACAUGGGCGUGAGCCCAUUGUAGAAGUUCUGGAGCACCAUCCAGUUCUCCAUGCCAUGAUGGGGGCAGCUUAGGAUGUACUCUUGUAGCCGCUCCCACGCUUCAGGGAUUGUUUCGCUGGCAUUUUGUUGAAAACUGGCAAUCCUUCCCCUCAAAGCAUUGGUUUUGCUUAUGGGGAAGAACUUGGCAAGGAAUGCCGCGAAGCAUUUUGCCCACGUGGUGACAGCUUCCUUAUCUUGAUAGAACCACCUCUUCGCCUGCCCCACGAGGGAGAAAGGAAAGAGGCGGAGCCGAAUGACAUCAGGAGUGAUGUCCUUGAUGACAAUCGUGUCACAUAGGUCCAGGAAGUGUUGAAGGUGUGCAUUCGCAUCCUCGCUUGGCAAGCCACAGAAUGGGCUCGCCUGCACCAUGGUGAUCAGGCCGGUGCGUAGCUCGAAGUUCUUGCUGGUCAUGUCAACAGCGGGGCCAGUGGCCACGUUGGUGACAGCGGGCACGGAGAACUCGCGGAGUGUCUUCUCGGCGGCCAUGAGUUCGUUCGGGGUUGGUGCGGUAACGGCUGGUUCACUUGUCGGUGGAGUAGCAGAAGACGAAACGGUUCGAGACCGUCUAGUCCUUAGGAGUGCCUCGGGAUCGGAGAUGUAGUUUUCCGGCGAAGAGAAACCACGCAUACACUAUUCCUCCUGUUUCAUCCACAACAGGGAGAAAAAUAGACAGAGUUAGCCUGCAUAACAAUUGACUCAUUACGCACAUCAGAUUACUUGAUUAUAUUUAUCUAGAAUCAUUUUCAUAUUAGCCUUCCCAAGGCAACGGCGCCAGAAAUGCAUGUUGGCAUUUCUUAACGUCAUCACUAAGAACAGGGUUUAAUCCGUCCUCAGCAACGAUGUCAGAAAUGUCGUGAUAACACUUACUAAUGCAAUCACCAAGAUUAGAGUAUAAAUCUAUCCUAAGCAACGGUGCCAGAAAUGCUUGUUAGCGUUUCUUAGCGUCGCUACCUAGAAUAGGGUUCUGCUCUACUCAUGAUAAUGACAUUGGCAGUGUUAUAUUGGCAGAUCCGUAGCAUCACCACCUUGAAUAGGAAGCUAGAUCUACCUUCCCGAUAACGGCGCCUUAUUACCGUUAGGGUAGGGAUCCAGUUCUUAAUCAUGGUAGUGGCACUAGGAUUGUCAUGUUGGUAUUCCUUAACAAGUCACUAGCUCGGCGCAUGUCUAGCAACAGUGUUAAGUAUAUACAGGGGUGAUAGUUCCUUAGGUUUGGAGUUUAAGUACCGCAAGCGGACGGGAAUUAUCGUGUAGCAUUUCAACCCGGGGAUUUACCGAGUGUCGUAUUUAUAGGUUCGUUCUAAGGAGGGCUUAAUAUGUUAAGGAUUCUAAAAUAAGCAUAGAUCAAAGUAAUUAUGAUAGCAAUAAUGGAAUCAAAAGUCAUAGCAGGUGAUAAACAUUUAUAUGUAGAAUAGUGAUCCAUCACAAUCUAGGCAUGGCAUAUGGGCUAAGGAAUAAAAAAGAGACUAAAAGAAUGAAUUGAAUCAAAGAAUAAACAAACAACCUAUUGGAGUAGGUGUGGUCCUAGAUACAGAUCAUGUCAUAGAACAAGUUAAUCAUGUAAUUAUACUACUUAGAUCUAGUCCUGUGUUU